UCCUGUGGCGAUGCGUAUCGGGGACACACCCGUUCCCAUACCGAACACGACGGUUAAGACCGGUACGGCCGAGGGUACUAUUCUGGAGACGGGAUGGGAGAGUAGGUGGCCGCAGGAU
rnacentral:rRNA from 1 species